rnacentral:ncRNA from 1 species
UGCCCUCGACCUGCCAAGGGUGCCCGACGGGAGACUCCUCCCCGACGGUGAAACGGGAAGUUGGUGAAAAUCCAACACUGCCCCCGCAACGGUAAGCGUGUUGCGUAUGAACCACCCCAGGCCACUGUGCGCCAUGCGUAUGGGAAGGCCGGUUCAUACUGCCAGCGGUUAUUCUAACCAUCGCUGGAGACGCGUAAGUCCGGAGACCGGCCCACGGCGUUUGGUUCUGC